rnacentral:rRNA from 1 species
UACGAACUGUGCGAACGUUAUUCGGAAUCACUGGGCUUACAGGGUGCGUAGGCGGCUUGUUAAGUAGGGUGUGAAAGCCCCCGGCUCAACCGGGGAAUUGCGCCCUAAACUGGCGAGCUGGAGUGAGAUAGGGGUGUGUGGAACUUCCGGUGGAGCGGUGAAAUGUGUUGAUAUCGGAGGGAACGCCGGUGGCGAAAGCGACACACUGGAUCUUGUCUGACGCUGAGGCACGAAAGCCAGGGGAGCGAACGGG